rnacentral:SRP_RNA from 1 species
UCGUGCUAGAUGGGGAAGUAGCGGCUCCCUGUACCCGCAAUCCGCUAUAGCGGGGUCGAAUUCCCCCUCGAGGGCAUGCGCUCACUCGGACGGCUGGCGUCGUCCGGUGUCGAGGGUUGGGUCCUACGCGGCAGAAGCCCGUGAACCCCGCCAGGACCGGAAGGUAGCAACGGUAAGCGGUCCCUUCUGGGUGCCGUAGGGGUGCCUGGCCUGAGCCGGUAGGCAAGGCCGGAUGAGCAGAACAGCUCGACAGGGGGUGCACGA